GACAACCGAGGCUUUGAUCCAAGAUUCACGUCAUUAUCAAAACGCCACACGCAGGGAUACGGAAUGCACAUGUCCAGCCAUUCUCGCCGGCGUCUCUCUCCCUGGCUAGAACACAAAAAAACAAACAUGAAAUCGCAUCGCCUACCUCGAUUCCAGAAUCAUAACGAAAAUCACCAAACAAAAUUCACCCACCCACACUCGAUUCCAAGACUAAGCCACACGACUAAGCAUGGAUUUGGAUCGACAACAAUCGAACGGAUCUCUAAGCUUCGCGGCGAGCUACGGCGAGCAUAAAUCGAAGCCUUAAGUCGUCGUAUUUCAUCUAGAUUUAGCAUAAAAUCACGUUAGCGUGUACCUCCGAGAAGUUCGGCAUGACGGCAACCGCGAGACAAUUUCCAGUGAUGAAUGAACCAAGAAGAAUUUUCAGAGCUCAAAUUUGAAGCAAGUCGAAGAUGAUGAAGAUGGGAUGGGAGUGCAGGAAAUUCGCGUGCCGGUGAGAAUGACUGGUAAGAAAAAAACCUCCUCUUGCGAUGCCAAUUCAGCUUGCUUUAUAGAAUUGAUCAACAUGGGUAGUUUAGGAUUUUAUGAUUGAAGUUUCUUAUGAAAGUUCGGAUUUGCAAGGAAUUCUGGUUGCGUUUUCUUGUAACGUCUUGCACCCUUUCCGCGCAGGCUUGUAUUCAACAUUGAGAUCUUUUCAAAUUGCAUUGUUUUUUUGUUUUAUUUGCACCCUUGCUUUUCGCCUUUGGACUUUGCAAUUUGGUGUGUUUGGGCUUUGCCUUCAUGUUGAUCACUUGUUCAAAAUUGGAAUUACCGUGUUUGAAUUC